CCACCACAGCUGGCAGGGCCAGGCCGGACCCCAGUGGUGGCCAGGCAGGGGACAGGAGGCCACGGGGCCCUGGCUGAAGCUGGGCAAGUUCACAGCACUAACAUCUCGCUGACACUAAGCCCAGUCCCUGCUGUUGGCCCAAGCUGGGGUCUGCUGGCCCCUGGGAGCAGCUCCAGGCCAGGCCAGGCCCAAAAUCCAUUGGCAACUGCUCAGCAGAAACCACCACGAACAUCUGCAGGCCUGGGCGAGAUAUUAACCCUUUUGGUGCACAGAUGAGACCUGCAGACCACGAUUCUCCCCUCAGAAGCAGGAAGAGCCCCACAGGAUGUGGGAUCAUAUCUCUGAACAAGAAAGUAAUGCCCUAAAAUGCAAAGCCAGGUCCUCAAAUGUGUUCAGACCGUUGAUACAACUUUGCUUCUUCUGUGAAGCCUUUGACACAGCCCCCCACAACAUCCUUUUUUCUACAGUGGUGAGAGAUGGAUGUGAUGAGUGAACUAUUAGAUGGAUAAGAAAGUGGUUGAAUGGUUGCAUCAAGAGGGUAAUGGUCAAUGGCUUAGAUGGACAUCAAUGGACAUCCCAAUGGACAUCAAUGACAAGUGGUGUCCCUCAGAGGCCUGUAUUGGGACCACUGUUGUUUAAUAUUUUCAUUAAUAACAUAGACAGAAGAAAUGAGUGCAUUUUUAAAGGAACUGAGUGCAGCCUUAGCAAAUUUACAGAUGAAACCAAGGUGAGCAGCGUGGUCGACACAUCAGAAGGAUGGAAUGCCAUUCAGAGGGAUAAGCUCAAGAAGUGGGCCCACGGGGAUCUCAUGAAGGUCAACAAGACCAAAGAUGAGGUGCAGCACCUGGGUCAGGGCAAACCCUAGUAUCAACACAGGCUGGGGAAUGGACAGAUCAAGAACAGCCCUGCCCAGGUUGAGGUGUAGGGGAGAUGCUGGUGCGCAGGAGGUUGGACAUGACUCAGUAAUGUGCAUUUGUAUCCCAGAAAGACAAUGGUAUCCUGGGCUACAUAAAAAGAAGUGUGGUCAGCAGGUCAAGAGAGGUGAUUCUGCAUCUCCACCCUGGAAGUUUUUCAGACCAGAUUGGAUGGGGCUCUGAGCAACCUAAUCUAAUGAAAAAUGUCUCUGCCCAUGGCAGGGGGGCUUGGAACUAGAUAAUCUUUAAAGUCUCUUUCAAUAGAAACUAUUCUAUGACUUUGAUUCCUCUAUGUUGAAGAAAACAGAACAUCUACAAGAAUAAGGCAUCAUUAUUAACUUUUCAGUUGAAGUUUUUAACCAAAAGUACUAGAUAUAACAGUGAUAGAAGUUGUGUAUAUAUUUUAUAUAAUUCAAACUGUUUUUGUAAAAUCCUAGUUCGUUCCAUUUGAAAUACUGGUGUAUCCAUAUAGUGUCUCAGAGGACUCAGAUGGACUGGCCAUUGAAUUUACCCACUGAAUGAGUAGAAGAGGUCCUAGCUUAUUUACAGAUAAAUGCAGCCUCCUUCAGUCACCUUCACAUUACUCACUGGUGAUUGCCAAAUGAAAAAGAGUGUCAUAGAAACAGAUGCACCUUCUGGACCUCUCUUUAACCUGGUUUUUAAAUAAAUGAAAUGCCAAUACUCCUAUUGGCAGUAGGAUAGACCUGAAUUUCAGAUUAGCCCUUUUCUUCAGGAUUACCAAGGCUAACUGACAUGCACAUUGGGACAGAAAUUUUGUAGAAGAAAGAAAUUUAUCAGAAGAAAAAAUUCAAAAUCAGAUCUUGUCUAAUUUUAUCUAGGCAUAUGUAUUGCAUCCUUUAGGACAGGGCUUUCAUGGUAAGCUUUCUUAACGAAAUGCUGAGAGACUAAAACUCUUCUCAGAUGGAAAUCACAUCCUCUGAGACCCAGAGAAAUGAACAGGCUUUUCUUUGGUUAUUCCUUACUUGAGAAAUCUGAAGCAGAUGUGGGCAUGUGGAAGAAGAGUAACAACUGCAACUCUGAGCUCAUAUUUUUAAGCACCUCAGUGCUCUGCCCCUCAAUCAGUCAGCCUUGGAUUUUGACCAACCUUAUACAUGUAUUAUAUUAUUUUUAAGUGGCAUAUCUAGGCUCUAAAUUAUUUUUAAUCUCUACAGAAAUGCAUGUCUAAUUGUUGGUUAGACCUGGAUUCAGAGUGGUGGAUGAAUUCCUUGAUGAACAAGGAGCUCCAUUUUAUGUAAAUAACUUCUGACACUUCAAAUAAAUUUAUUUUUCAAAAUAAGCAGCAGCCAAGAUAACAAUAUAUCUUUGACACCAUAAAGGCAUCCAUUUGCUCCUAGGAACAUGAUGAACUAUUUAAGGAGCAUUACCCCUUCUGUGUAAUCUGGACCUAAUUUUGGCUAUUGUGUUCAAAGGUUUUAAAUUUUAUAUUUUACCACCCCAAAUGGAGUUGCUUGAGGUUUAGUAAUGAUACAUUUUGUGGGUAGUGAGUGUCCCCACAGCUCAUGAAAUCUAACUGAAAUUUUUUUUCAUACCCAGUAUCCCAUUAGUAUACUGACAUUUGCAAGUCAUUGAUCUAAACAGCAAUUCAUUUCAAUGAAAUUAAAAACUACAGAGAAGCAAGCAAGCAAAAUAAAUACCACAGUAUAGGGAAGGCGGACUGCAUUUAAAAUCUCUGGAGACCCUCAAACUAAAAUGACACACACAGAGAGUAAAUCCCAGCUGCUGUUGUGAACUAGUAAGAAAAGCCAAGUCUAACAAUAAAAUCCCUAAAACCGAAGACACAGUAGAGAUAAUUGAGUACUAUACUUCCCACUCAUUUUCCCCUUUAAAUUUAACGUGUUUUGCUAGAAAACUGUUACAGCACCAUGAUGGGCUCAAAAUGAAAGCACUAUGUUAUAGUGAUAUGUACCUAUAAUAAUAUCCAAUAUAAAAUGUUGAAGUUAUAUUGCAGCAUGAUUAGCUUGGGUAAGCAUUCUCCUACUGGCAAUAAAAGAUAACACUGUCUUGAACAA